rnacentral:tRNA from 1 species
CAGGAAAUAGUUUAAAGUAAAAUUCUAGCUUUGGGUGCUAGUGAUAGGAAUUUAAGUUUCCUUUUUCUGA